rnacentral:rRNA from 1 species
UCCUACGGGGGGCAGCAGUAGGGAAUUUUCGUCAAUGGGCGCAAGCCUGAACGAGCAAUGCCGCGUGAACGAGGAAGGUCUUCGGAUCGUAAAGUUCUGUUGAAGGGGAAAAAGAGCGGAGAGAGGAAAUGGUCUCCGAUUGAUAUUACCCUUCGAGGAAGUCACGGCUAACUACGUGCCAGCAGCCGCGGUAAUACGUAGGUGGCGAGCGUUACCCGGAAUGAUUGGGCGUAAAGGGUGCGUAGGCGGCCUGCUAAGUCUGGAGUGAAAGGUACCGGCUCAACCGGUACAGGCUCUGGAAACUG